AAGGAGUAAAAUGCCUGAGCUCAAGUGACAACAAGCAACCCCAGACUAGAGACAGGAUCCUUCUCCCCACUUCGAGCAGAUCCCAGCAUGAAUCCUGCAGUAUGGUGAUGGCAAAAGUCAGUGCAGGACCACUGGGACUCCUGGAGCUUCUCACAUCUCUGAGAGCACCAGCAGCAGAAAACAUCGCCCAUUUCAUCUGUUUCUUCAGUCCCCAGAUAGCAGAUGACUGGUAGGAAGAUGAGGCAAGUUUGCGGUCCAUUGUCAUGGAUAGUGGAGACAACACUGGGCCAGAAGUGGUAAGACCUGAAUCCAAGACUCAGCUCUGCCACUUGCUAAAUGGGACUUUGAAUAAACCAUUUCUCUGCACUUAAGUUCCUUACCAACAAAACGAGGGAAGUGGCCUACAUGCCUAGAUAUCAACAUUUCAUGUCACGUAGAGAUCUAGCAUCACAAGAAUCCAAGUCAUCCUCUGUUGCCUUUAAGACAAAAAGCAGAUCAGCAAGUUUUCAUAUUGCACUAUUUUCAAUGGCUGGAGCAUCAACAUUUUACAACAAGAAAAAAAUUAAAAUUCUUCAACAUUUGGAAAAGAAGUGUUUGUAAAACUUUUCACAUCCAUUCACCAUCCGGAAAAGCAAGGUUUUACAGUGAGGCCUGAUGAUGUCUAGAGUCACCAUGCAUCUUGGAAAAUGACCUCCUAUUUAUUUCUUCUACAGGACACCAUGGUGUUCACCUUUCUACAACUUUACACUUGCUGAGGACAUAUUGUGGAAAAUUAAGAGAAAUAUAUAUGGAUGGCCAAGGCUGUAGAUGGAUGUCCAAGCCUUUUUACUGGGGAAUGUUUUCAGAACAAAAUGAGUUACAGGUUCAAGAGUGAAACCCAACAAAUCUUGGCUCUUUUUUUCUCUACUAAAUUCCAAAUCAAAAGUA
rnacentral:lncRNA from 1 species